UGUCUAGGGCUGCAAACACGCUACAAUGGCCGAUACAAAGGGUUGCCUGCUCGCGAGAGUUAGCUAAUCCCAUAAAGUCGGUCUCAGUUCGAAUUGAAGUCUGCAACUCGACUUCAUGAAGCUGGAGUUGCUAGUAAUCCCGGAUCAGCACGCCGGGGUGAAUACGUUCCCGGGCCUUGUACACACCGCCCGUCACACCACGAAAGUCGGCAACACCCAAAGCCGGUGGCCUAACCGCAAGGAAGGAGCCGUCUAAGGUGGGGUCGGUGAUUGGGGUGAAGUCG
rnacentral:rRNA from 1 species